rnacentral:rRNA from 1 species
AUUGAACGCUGGCGGCAUGCCUUACACAUGCAAGUCGAACGGUAACGCGGGGCAACCUGGCGACGAGUGGCGAACGGGUGAGUAAUACAUCGGAACGUGUCCUGAAGUGGGGGAUAACGCAUCGAAAGAUGUGCUAAUACCGCAUAAUCUCUGAGGAGGAAAGUAGGGGAUCGAAAGACCUUAUGCUUUUGGAGCGGCCGAUGUCUGAUUAGCUAGUUGGUGGGGUAAUGGCUUACCAAGGCGACGAUCAGUAGUUGGUCUGAGAGGACGACCAGCCACACUGGGACUGAGACACGGCCCAGACUCCUACGGGAGGCUG